CCUCCGGCCCAUAGCAUC
rnacentral:rRNA from 1 species